rnacentral:tRNA from 2 species
CGGUUAGAAUACCGGCCUGUCACGCCGGGGGUCGCGGGUUCGAGUCCCGUCCGCUCCGCCA